UGCUGCAAUUAAUAAUCUCGACUAAGAUCUUCUUCUGGCUUUGUUGCAGCAUAAAGGUGACUCUGAGUUCUUCAAAACUAUGCUACUGGAAGAAAAGCUCUACCCAGCUGGUAAGACUUCCCGUGGGCCUGGCCUAAGGACACUUGCAGCUAUGUGAUUCUAGCCUGGACUUUAACCUUGUCUCAGCCUCUGCCCAGACGUCAGUGCUGGACCUUGGACUCUUCCAUCUCCCAGGAAGCCCUGGGAGACGUCAGCCCUUCUGCACAGGGAUCACAUGCUGCAACAUCUUGCAGACUCAUGGCUCUAUCAGGAAAGAGACAAGGUGACCCCACCAUGAAAACAGAACCCCUUUUGUGGUCGUCCUGUUGGCAAGUUGUUACUCACCAUUUCCUCCUUCCUUUGGCUGAAAGUGGAUGAAUGCAAAGGGCCCAGAGGACUGGCUGGAUUCUGACCUUUUGUCCCUGGGGCUUAGGAGGUGACAGUCUGGGCCAUUGGUGUGUGUGGGGGGGUGUGUGUGUGGGGGGUGUGUGUGUGUGUGUGUGGUUUCUAUUCAUGUAGUUUCCUUCAUUGCUAUUUUAAAUAAAUUGUCCCUUUUUAUCA
rnacentral:lncRNA from 1 species